AGUUUGAUACCUGGCUCAGGACGAACGCUGGCGGCGUGCCUAAUACAUGCAAGUCGAGCGGACAGAUGGGAGCUUGCUCCCUGAUGUUAGCGGCGGACGGGUGAGUAACACGUGGGUAACCUGCCUGUAAGACUGGGAUAACUCCCGGGAAACCGGGGAUAAUACCGGAUGACUUGUUUGAACCGCAUGGUUUCAAACAUAAAAGGUGGCUUCGGCUACCACUUACAGAUGGACCCGCGGCGCAUUAGAUAGUUGGUGAGGUAAUGGCUCACCAAGGCAACGAUGCGUAGCCGACCUGAGAGGGUGAUCGGCCACACUGGACUGAGACACGGCCCAGACUCCUACGGGAGGCAGCAGUAGGGAAUCUUCCGCAAUGGACGAAAGUCUGACGGAGCAACGCCGCGUGAGUGAUGAAGGCUUUCGGAUCGUAAAGCUCUGUUGUUAGGGAAGAACAAGUACCGUUCGAAUAGGGCGGUACCUUGAACGGUACCUAACCAGAAAGCCCACGGGCUAAACUACGUGCCAAGCAGCCCGGCGGGUAAAUACGGUAAGGGUGGGCAAGACGUUUGGUUCCGGAAAUUUAUUUGGGGACGUUAAAAGGGGGCCUCGCCAGGGGCGGGUUCCCCUAAAAGUUCUGAAUGUUGAAAAGCCCCCCGGGCUCAAACCGGGGGAAGGGUCAUUGGGAAAACUGGGGAACCUGAGNGCAGAAGAGGAGAGUGGAAUUCCACGUGUAGCGGGAAUUGCGGUGAGAUUGUGGAGGACCCCCAGUUGGCGAAGGGCAAACCUCUCUGGGUCGGGUANCUGAACGCCCGGAGGAAGCGAAAAGCCGCUUUUUUUAUAUGGAGGGCGGCGGAACUAGUCUUCGUUCAGAUGGUAGAACCGCGGAGAAUCUUUGUGUAUAUCGGUAGAGCAGGUGGGUGGUGCAAGGAAUAAAUCCUGUUUGCCCCGCUUAUCAAGUGGUGUUAGUGUUGGGGGGUUCUGCCCCCUANGUGUGCGGCUACGGCAAUAAGCACUCCGCCGUGGAGUACGUUUGCAGACUUGNAACUCAAGGUAAUGACGGUGUCCGCACAAGCGGUGAGCAUGUGGUUAAUUCGAGGCAACGCGAAGAACCUUACCAGUUCUUGACAUCUUCUGACAAUCCUAGAGAUAGAACGUCCCCUUCGGGGGCAGAGUGACAGGUGGUGCAUGGUUGUCGUCAGCUCGUGUCGUGAGAUGUUGGGUUAAGUCCCGCAACGAGCGCAACCCUUGAUCUUAGUUGCCAGCAUUCAGUUGGGCACUCUAAGGUGACUGCCGGUGACAAACCGGAGGAAGGUGGGGAUGACGUCAAAUCAUCAUGCCCCUUAUGACCUGGGCUACACACGUGCUACAAUGGACAGAACAAAGGGCAGCGAAACCGCGAGGUUAAGCCAAUCCCACAAAUCUGUUCUCAGUUCGGAUCGCAGUCUGCAACUCGACUGCGUGAAGCUGGAAUCGCUAGUAAUCGCGGAUCAGCAUGCCGCGGUGUAUACGUUCCCGGGCCUUGUACACACCGCCCGUCACACCACGAGAGUUUUGUAACACCCGAAGUCGGUGAGGUAACCUUUAUGGAGCCAGCCGCCGAAGGUGGGACAGAUGAUUGGGG
rnacentral:rRNA from 1 species